rnacentral:rRNA from 1 species
GACGGAGGAUGCGAGCGUUAUCCGGAUUUAUUGGGUUUAAAGGGUGCGUAGGCGGGCUUUUAAGUCAGCGGUAAAAAUUCGGGGCUCAACCCCGUCCGGCCGUUGAAACUGGGGGCCUUGAGUGGGCGAGAAGAAGGCGGAAUGCGUGGUGUAGCGGUGAAAUGCAUAGAUAUCACGCAGAACCCCGAUUGCGAAGGCAGCCUUCCGGCGCCCUACUGACGCUGAGGCACGAAAGUGCGGGGAUCGAACAGG